UCCGACCAAAUAACAGGAAACAUUAACGGAAAUUUAUCCACUCAUUUACACUCGACGUAACUCAUCGACAAUUUAAGGGGGUCGUUACGGUUCACCCUCUUUUGGACGGGAUGUCGGCGAAAUAAACUAAAUGUAGCUUAAACAAACGAGCGUUCGCGAUAAAGCUUGCCAGACCGUUCGGUAAAAGUGCAACGUCGAGCAACGAGAAACGAGAAGUCGUCGGGUUUUUUCCCUUAAUUCUGUCGACGGGCAGCCGGGAUCCGCGUAUUUAUCGCGUUCAGCGUUGCUCACCGUCAGAUGCACGCGGGCAUAGACAACGACGAGCGAAGAGAAACGACCGGCGACGAUAUAUUUUUGACACCGUCGACGCCUGCUGCGACCGGCCAUUUACUCGUUGUACCCGCGUAUCUCGUUUACACCGUUACCCUCUCGAAAAAGUACCAUGUUCCUUUCGCAUGGCUGUCGUGAAAUUUACUAUGUUACGCGGCAUUAAUUUCGUCCGCGUUUUUCGGUUUUUCGAUGUAGAGAGAAUGAGGAGAAGAGGCCGAGAAUCGAUUAACGCUGGAUGGGAUCAAAUUUAACAUGUACUUGGUUGUGAAAGCGCGCUUCAUGGGCUGCGUUCAAAUAUUGCUCAUAAACAGACUGUAAAACAUUUACGCAUAUUUAUAUUUUUAUAGACAUAAUUAUAAUUUUAGAUUUUAAACUUUCAGGAUAAUUAUACGACAUAUUCGUAGCUCCAACUAUAAAUACGUCAUAGUUAUAAUUCACAGAGUGAGACUUAGGUGAGGGUUUAUUUCAUCUACUUAAAUGUUAUGAUACGUGUUGUGUAUUUUGAAUAUAUCGUGUACUCUUGCAUAUUACGUUCCCUACGACAUCGUUGCACAGCGGUAUAAUAAUAUUAUCUGUUUUUGCAGAGUGUGUUCAAAAUUGAAUAAAGUGAUUCUUACGUCUUUUUAUAUCUUGCAUAUAAAUUAACGGGACCGUUGAUAAGAAUACGUUGAAGGGGAUUUGUGAACGUCGAGGGUAAACCAAGAUUCUGGUCAGAGUUUCAGCUGUCAUGCGGAGGCCACGUUUUCGACGUGGAAAACAG